AAGCAACGGUCCCGUAGGAUCACCGAAGUUAAGCAACGUCGAGCCUGAUAAUUACUUAGAUGGGUGACCAUUUGGGAAUACUAAAUGCUGUAGG